UUUGAAAAUUUUAAUUUUUCUAUUUUUCAAAAUUUGAAAUCUUAUCCCCAAAACCUCAUUUCUCAACUCUAAACCCUAAACCCUAAACUAUAAACCCUAAACCCUAAACCCUAAACCCUAAACUCUAAACCCUAAACCCUAAACCCUAAACCCUAAAUCCUAAACUCCACCUUUUAACUCUAAACCCUAAGUUUGUGACUUUUGAUAAAACAUUAAGUGCUAUUUUUGUGACUUUUAACCUUG
rnacentral:lncRNA from 1 species